UCUGGUGUAGUCCUGGAACAAGGGUUUUGCUGCGGAGGGAAACGGCCAGAGAGACCUCGAUCUAAGACCGGGGUUCGGAGACUGGCGGGCCUCGGAACAGCAGAGCUAGCGGACUUCCGGUCUGGCCCUCCGCUCACGGCCGAGGGCAAGGCGGGUUAGGUCACCUGCUGAGGAAAGAGCUCAAUAUGUCACGUGUUCCUCUCCCAAUGACGUGGACCUCAGUUCCCUCUCCAGUGAAGUGGGCACAGUGUUGCCCGAAAAAGGGUGCUCUGGGGCUUGCCUGAGACGGGACGCGUGGAAAUGCCCUGCCGAAUAUGAAUGGGGCGAUGGCCUCGCGGGACGGAGCAGCCCAGGAGAGCUGACCGUGGGCUGGGUUGUGGAGCGGAGCCCCAGGGCCUCGGCUGACUUAGCGGCCAGUCGUACAUAGCGGGUAUGCGGCGGGCCCGACGCCAGUCGUUGUGGACCACUGACUUGUAAUCUUUACGACCUCAGUGAGGGUCAGAAGUGUCCGCGAGCCCUGUAGGCGAGGAGAGGCCUGGCUGAGGGCGCACAGCCUGGAAGGGGAGAAACUAGAGCUGGACCCUGCUUGACCCACAGACCCUCCGCCAGGUUGCCUUUGCGAGGCAAGAAGCGAAGGUUGGCGAGCCAGCUGGGAGUACCCACCCCCUCCAUGCCUGGUGGAGUCACCCAAGCCCCAGCGACACCCCCGGCCUGCCCAAGGUACUGGUGACCCUGGAGGCCGGGGCCCUGGCUUCUCAGUCAGGGUCUCCUCCCCGUGGCGGCAGAGCUGUCUGGCGUUUUGAGCCCUUUACACCAGGGGCAAGAGGGCUGCAGGCCAGAGCCAGCAAAAGAGAAGCAGCAGAGGGAAUGAGAAACCUAGAAGGUGGAACGGGAAGGAGGGAGUGAAAUGGGCAAAGGCCCAAAAAAAAAAAACAACAACUCCCCCCUCCUAAGUUUAGUGCAUUUAACUCUAUAAAUAUCUAUUGAACACUUACUGGAUGCCAGGCACUUUUCUAGGCACUGGGCAGCUAGCAUUAAACAGGAGGCAGAAACCCCUGCCUUCAACAAAAUCUAUGCUGUGUUGAAUAAGUGAUACAGGGAAAAGCUGAAGAUGGGGAGAGAGGUGGGGAGGGUAUAGAGGAUGGGAAGAAAUUUACAAAAGAGGCAGGGAGGGCUUUACUGAGAAGGUGACUAUGAAGGAAGUGAAGGAAGGGCAUUGCAGGCCAGGGGCUCAUUGUGUGCAAGGGCCCUGGGGUGGAAGUGAUCAUGCAGUGGCGUGAGUGUGGGUUUGAGUAGCAGGUGAUGGUUAGAGGUAAGGCGUGAGCCACCACGCCCGGCCUAUAGUCAUGAUUUUAUUUAUUUAUUUUGAGACACAGUCUCCCUCUGUUGCCCAGGCUGGAGUGCAGUGGUGUGACCUCAGCUCACCGCAGUGCCCCCUGGGUUCAAGCGAUUCUUGUGCCUCAGCCUCCCAAGUAGCUGGGAUUACAGGCAUGCACCACCACACUCAGCUAAUUUUUGUGUUUUUAGUAGAGAUGGGGUUUCGCUAUGUUGGCUAGACUGG
rnacentral:lncRNA from 1 species